CAACAGGGAUUGCCUUAGUAACGGCGAGUGAAGCGGCAAUAGCUCAAAUUUGAAAUCUGGCUCUUUCAGAGUCCGAGUUGUAAUUUGCAGAGGGCGCUUUGGUGUUGGCAGCGGUCCAAGUUCCUUGGAACAGGACGUCACAGAGGGUGAGAAUCCCGUACGUGGUCGCUAGCCUUCGCCGUGUAAAGCCCCUUCGACGAGUCGAGUUGUUUGGGAAUGCAGCUCUAAAUGGGAGGUAAAUUUCUUCUAAAGCUAAAUACUGGCCAGAGACCGAUAGCGCACAAGUAGAGUGAUCGAAAGAUGAAAAGCACUUUGGAAAGAGAGUCAAAUAGCACGUGAAAUUGUUGAAAGGGAAGCGCUUGCAGCCAGACUUGCCUGUAGUUGCUUAUCCGGACUUUUGUCCGGUGCACUCUUCUGCGGGCAGGCCAGCAUCAGUUUGGGCGGUUGGAUAAAGGUCUCUGUCAUGUACCUCUCUUCGGGGAGAACUUAUAGGGGAGACGACAUGCAACCAGCCUGGACUGAGGUCCGCGCAUCUGCUAGGAUGCUGGCGUAAUGGCUGUAAGCGGCCCGUCUUGAAACACGGACCAAGGAGUCUAACAUCUAUGCGAGUGUUUGGGUGUCAAGCCCAGACGCGUAAUGAAAGUGAACGGAGGUGGGAACCCUUUGGGUGCACCAUCGACCGAUCCUGAUGUCUUCGGAUGGAUUUGAGUAAGAGCAUGGCUGUUGGGACCCGAAAGAUGGUGAACUAUGCUUGAAUAGGGUGAAGCCAGAGGAAACUCUGGUGGAGGCUCGCAGCGGUUCUGACGUGCAAAUCGAUCGUCAAAUUUGGGCAUAGGGGCGAAAGACUAAUCGAAC
rnacentral:rRNA from 1 species